GGCGGUGUAGCUCAGUUGGUUAGAGCACGCGGUUCAUACCCGCGGUGUCGCCGGUUCGACUCCAGCCACCGCCACCA
rnacentral:tRNA from 1 species